rnacentral:sRNA from 1 species
AGCUUUUGUAAAAUAUCACAUUUGGAAUGCCUUUUGUUGUCAGUGCUCUGUAAGGACCUAUAUAGCACAGAAGAGGGUUGGGGGAAAAUUUCUGUCAAUGCAAUUCUCACAGGCAAUGCAGCUUGAAGUGCAACUGUAGAUGCAUCUGUACUUAACCUCACAGCAAGGAGCGGCUCCCAACCCUUCAGACGGCACCUUCAGGCACCUUUUAUUUUUUCUGUGUCUCUUUUGGAGAGGUGCGAGUGGGGCAAAUUACGAAGAACCUUAAUUACGAAGGGAGGGGACAGAGGUUCCAUUGGCUGUCCCCAAUGGGAGGCUUAAAGACACCUGCAGCCAGCCAGCUGUGGACACCGGGGGACACUGGGACGUUCCUCCUUGUCUCCACCCGCUGAAGUUCGCUCUAGAGAAGCUAGCUUGCAUCUCCACACAGAAGAUCCGCAGCGCUCGCAGAUCUGGUCCGGGGUCCUGACGCUCCCCGGGAGCCACGGAGAUCGGGUGGACAACAGCGGAGCUGAGAACCGGGGGCGAGCGUGCGUAGCCUUUCCAGGCGAAACAGCGUGCACCGCUCGGGCGGCGCCCAGCAUGGAGUGGAAGCUGAAUCUGCUGCUCUACUUAGCGCUCUUCUUCUUCCUGCUCUUCCUCCUGUUCCUCCUGCUCUUCGUGGUCAUCAAGCAGCUGAAGAACUCGGUGGCCAAUACAGCCGGGACGCUGCAGCCGGGGCGUCUGUCGCUGCACCGGGAGCCUUGGGGUUUCAAUAACGAGCAAGCAGUGUGACCUGGCUGGCAGGGUCUCAGCUCCAAAGGGAUUCAGAUCUAUGUCAUCUGAACCCAGGCUGGUACCCUUGACAGGAGGUACUCAGGACAGAAACUCUUAUCACAGCCUAAGAACCCUGAAAAGCUGGGAGUGGAGGAAAUCUUGCAAAAGGGUCUUAUGUGGUCUCCAUUGCUCCCCACAAGGAGGAAACGGGGAGGAAAACGGCAUGCCUGUCUGAGUCCACUUCCUUCUCAAGAGUUUCUCGGUGGCCAGGACUAUGUCAGGGGCCACUGUCCUUUAACAACAUAGACGCUACUGCCUUCAACCAAAAUCCAAGCUCUCUAGAUUAGGAUAAAGGAUCUUGGGCAGACAGCCAGAAGUCUACACUCUAGUUACAAAGGACAGUUGUGCAGAAAGCAGUGUUCGAGAAAGAUGGACCUCCUGGUUCCCUCACACCUCAUGGUUCCCUCACAGCCCCAAGUGAUAUGGCUGAGCAGAAUGACGAUGGCUCUCUCCCUAGUUCUCAAGAAAUGUUUGUCAGGACUGGCUUCCUCUCUGGCCAGCUGGCUCCCUGUAGCAGGAUUUUCUAAGCAAGUUGCCCGGAAGCCUGCACAUUUGUGUGUGUUGGGAGGUCUGGGGCUUGAGGGAGUCUUCAUAAUCUCUUCAUGGAGCUUUGGUAUAGGAUCGAUCAACAUAAAUUGUUUUCUUUUGCUCCUUCUUGGUCCCCUCUCUCAUGUUCCAGUUAAUUAGGUUCUGUGGUAGCUAAGUUUGUGCACUUGAUCCCUAUAAAGGCCAUCCGUUCCAUACACAAGGAAAGGCACGCUGUGCUCAGAAAGGCUACCUCUCUCCCUUCUGUGACUCCACCCUCAAUCCGGGAAUAUCCCGGGAGAUCGCCUCUCUGCUUCUACUCAGCCUACGUACUGGCCAAGCCGAGGGAGAAGAAACACUUCCCACACCCAGAGCUGUGCAAAAGAACUUUCUGUGAUAUGAAACUGUUCUAUAUCUGUGGUGCCCAAUACGGCAACUACUAGUCACACGUGUCUAGUAAACACUGAAAUAUGGCUAGCAGGGAUUAAAUUGUAUUUAAUUUCACCUGAGACAGCCACAUGGGGCUGGUGGCUUUUGUAUGUACAGUACAUAUCAUUCUCUUGUGUGUGUGUGUGUGUGUGUGUGUGUGUGUGUGACAGCUAGCCAUGGACUCCACACCCCAUGGUCUUCCUUUGUUCUUGCAUUCAGUUUUUCUCCUUGAGGAAAAAAAAUAAGUUAGAUCUAAAUUGAGAAUGUUCACAUCUGCCUAUUGCCUGUCUUCCUGCACCAAAUGGGAUAGGUUUUUGUGAUAGUUGACCAUGGAGAAUAUGGCAGCGUUGACUCACUACAUCCCCAUGUUCCCAGGCCUUUUCCCUAACCAAGGUCAUGUUGUCUUAUGCAGUUUAGUCCGUUUCAGUUCACUUUUUAAUAUUGUAAAUCCCAAAUGAUUGUAGUGUGUGUUUUUCAAGAUACCUAAUGGUUUAUAUUUUUUAAGGUUGUGAAUAAAAAAAUAACAAUUACAUGUAACUCAGGUUGUGUGUGUGGGUGUGUGUGUGUGUGUGUGUGUGUGAUUUUUAGUAACUUAUUACCCAAACCUUGUUGUAUUAAUAAGGAUAUGAUUAAUAAAUGGAAAGUGAUAUUGCUUUUUAUAUCAGAUUUCCAUUUUAAUGGACAUAUUUAUCUUCCAAUGAAUGUGCUGUAUUUCGAAAACGUUAGGGGUUGGGGAUUUAGCUCAGUGGUAGAGCGCUUGCCUAGCAAGUGCAAGGCCCUGGGUUCGGUCCCCAGCUCCCCAGCUCUGAAAAAAAGAAAAAAAAACGUUAAAUGAGUCUUCUGUCACGGUCAAAGUUUGAGUAAAGUAUGUUGUCUCCAAGCUCCCUGUUUGGGCUAUUGUAUUGCAUUAUAGACAUUAUUAGACUGCCCCAGACAUAUUCCUUUCACAGAAACAUAUUCUCCCACCUGUGGUUCAUCUAUGGAUCUGAUUGGAAAGAUUUGUAAAGGUGUAUUAUUGGUUUUGAAGUUUUUAAUGUAUCCACAUUUUGUUCAUUGCUUUUUGGGUCCUCUUCAGGAGACAUUUGCCUUCCCUGCCCUCACCCUGGUUACCAAAAAAGAUUCUGCUCUGUUUUCUUCUACUCUACAAGCGUAGUUUUAACUUUUACUGAGUCUACUGCUCAUCUCGAGUUGAGUUUUGUACAUGGUGUGGAGAAAAGAAUGAUUUUCCCUUUUCAUAGAAGUAUACCAGCUUUCCUAAAGAAAGCUUCUCUCAUCCUCUGCUCUUCCUUUCCCCUCCCUCCUCUCUCCUCCUCCUUCAUUUGUUGAACACACUUUACUUCCCCACUGUCUCCCUGGGCCUCUUUCAUCAGCACCCACCGUGGGAACGUUCCCUGGACCCCUCCAAUGCCAACGUCUUGGUCACAUACUAAGUCUUACCAUUUACCACAAACGGUAUGAAGGGAAUUACUAAUACAGGCUCCUACUCAAAGGCCGACAGUACAAACUGGAAAGCUUAAAUAAUUUGAAUUGAAAUCAGAAAGAAAACUCUGAUGGAGACUAGGCUUCCUUCAUUUAAAUCUGAGUCCUGACCGGGGGGCGGGGGGUGUUCCGUAGUCAAGAAGGGUGCCUCACCGUCCUGUUGGUCAUGGUACAUAAGAAGCAUCCCCUUUAUUGUUGGUACAAUUGGAGUAAGCAGCUUCCAAGUCCCGAGGUCAGAGUUCAGAGAUGAAAGCAUCUGCAUUGUGUUUCUCUGCGUCUACGCAUAAACCUUCUACACCCCGUCUAUUGACGAGGACACUUCCCCAUGUCCAUGUCAUGUACAUUGCUUCGAAUCUUUGUAUAGUUUUGUCUCCGUUUGAUGAGUGGGGCAGGUAGUAUCUUAACUUACUGUACAUGAAAGUGGUUGAGGGUUGAGUGGUGUCCGGGUAGAAUAUAUGCUUUGUUCCCAUGAUCAGAGCAAGUGUGUGCAUCUUGCCUACCCACGAGAGCUCUGCACUGUGAGCAUCUUUUGUCCAUCAGCCUGACCUACGAGGGAUGCUUUGUCGUCAUUGUCAUUAACUACAUUUCCAGUGGAGCGUUGAUAAUUUCCCUGUGUUCUUUCAUCGUUGUCCCUUCUCCCUUGCAGCAU